AGGGCACCACCAGGAGUGGAGCCUGCGGCUUAAUUUGACUCAACACGGGGAAACUCACCCGGCCCGGACACCGGAAGGAUUGACAGAUUGAUAGCUCUUUCUUGAUUCGGUGGAUGGGGGUGCACGGCCGUUCUUAGUUGGUGGAGCGAUCUGUCUGGUUAAUUCCGAUAACGAACGAGACUCUAGCUUAUUAAAUAGACGUCGGGUUCUCUGCACUCGACGGUCUUCUUAGAGGGACAAGGUGCUUUUAGCACCGCGAAACAGAGCAAUAACAGGUCUGUGAUGCCCUUAGAUGUCCGGGGCCGCACGCGCGCUACACUGAAGGAAGCAGCGUGUAACAACCUUGUUCUAACGAACUGGGUAACCCGUGUAACUUCCUUCAUGAUUGGGAUAGGGGCUUGCAAUUGUGCCCCUUGAACGAGGAAUUCCCAGUAAACACUAGUCAUCAGCUAGUGCUGAUUACGUGCCUGCCCUUUGUACACACCGCCCGUCGCUACUACCGAUUGAAUGAUUUAGUGA
rnacentral:rRNA from 1 species